UGCACAACAGCGCAACGCAAACCCCUUUUAAUCCUAGAGCGCCUGAUCGCCGCCAGUAGAUGAGAAGCGGUCCACUAACCGCUCUAUGCGUUGGGAACAUAUCACUGAAUAAUAACGGACUCACCGCUUCCAGCCCUCCACUUGCAGCAAAACGACCGUUUAGUAGCAUAAGGGAAUGAACGUUUCGACGUUAACGGCUCGGUCUUGUAAAAUAGCCUACUGUAUUUGAUGUAUAACAGGAUGGUUUCCCUUAGCAGCUCCCUGCUUGGAUAACGUUACCGCCGUGCUGUUCUGAUUCUCCGGAUAAUGGUUCUCCCAUUCCUAACAGAGCUUUCUUGGAUUUGAAAGUGACUACCUCAUGAAGAACCCCCCCGUUGGCUGGCCCUCGCUUCAUACUCAUCGCCAAACCCACUGGCUCCAGGUCAUCUACAAGUCUCUGCUAGGAUUAUUUUCCUGCUGUAGCAAAUUGGCUCAAAUUAAGAACCGACAUCUCUAGGGAAAAGGAUGCCAUUUGGGACGCAAGCAGUGUCUCCGCCCAGACAGAAUAACCAGAGUUGUCUCCGUUUUAACCACUCAGAGCAGUCAGACACUACUUUCCCUCCAUAGAGUUUCUCUCAAGAAGAAUUCUCUCCGGGCUUUUGGUUCACAGUCUUUUUUUAUUUACAGUCUUGGCUCUGUGCCAAACUUAUCUUUAAAGCACAGCAUCCUACGUGACAAACUCCACAUACAAGUCCACCGCUUUCUACUGCUGGCUGAGGUCAUGAAAACAACGUGUCAUUGUCACCUGUCGCAGACGUCAUGGUAUCAUGGUAUUAUGACACAGCAAUAGUAUAUUAUCUCCUUUUGGAAUUUUUUUAACAAGCGGUUAUAAAUUGCAGUUAUGUUGAGAGAAUUGCCAAAUGUCUGUUUUCCUUGGCACUAGGUUUACCAGUUUAAUCUAAGUGAACCACGUCUCUCAAUUAAGAAUUAAUAUUACAUAACUUCUGUCUCCAAAUAAAUUAACACGGUGCAGACAGGCAACAGCCAGCUGUCUAAGGAGAGAACGUGUUUAAAAGGCUUUCUACAGCUGCUCUGUUUCAGGAGGGAUUGAUGCAUUAUGUAGAACUGUAGAUACCACCAGAUGUUGUAUCCUUUUGUACAUCACAUUUUAUAGAUAGUUGCGAGAAAUUAGAUAUAAUGGAUGUUUUUUUCCUCUCGUUUUGGUGGACAGAUUUUCUGUCCUUGUCUUUUAUGGUGCUGGUAUGUGUCCCAAAUGGUACCCUAUUCCCUUUAUGAUGCACUACUUUUGAAAAGAGCCCUAUGGGCCCUGGUCAAAAGUAGUAGACUGGGGUGCCGUUUGGGACGCAGUAGGGCGGAAUCAUUCUUUAGUCAUUACUCUACUGUCGUCAGUCAUGUGAAUAGGCCACAGCUUACAUAAAGCUUCUUCCUAAACCUUUUAUUCCUAUAUAAGGUCAUGUUGACAAGGUCACGCAGACCCGGACCCUGUCUGUUAGAUAAAAUGAAAUACAUUUAUACUUCCUAUUGUAGACUGACUCCGUUUAAUAGCACACAUGUUAAAUGGCAAACCAACUACUGUUCUCCCUCUCCCACAGCCUAUCCACACUGACUCUAUGCCCAUCCACAGGUCUCCACCUACUCAGACACAACCUACGCUUCUGCUAAAAUGAUUAUUGAUUAGAUGUAUUAUUCCAUUACACUGCUGUCCAUUGAUAAUUGAUUACCAUUACCAUUAAUGUUUUAUGUAUCUAUCCUGCUACUUGUCACUAUUUCUCAUGUUUACAUGUGCACUGAGCAUACCAAAUAUUAGCAACAACUUCCUAAUAUUGAGUUGCACCCCUUUUGCCCUCAGAACAGCCUCAGCUCCUCGGGGCAGGAACUCUACAAGGUGUCGAAAGUGUUCCACAGGGAUGCUGGCCAAUGUUGACUCCAAUGCUUCCCAUGGUUGUAUCAAGUUGGCUGGAUGUCGUUUGGGUAGUGGACCAUUCUUGAUACACAGGGGAAACUGUUGAGUUUGAAACAUUCAGCAGCGUUGCAGUUCUUGACACACUAAAACCGGUACGCCUGUCAUCUACUACCAUACUCCGUUCAAAGGCACUUAAAUCUUUCGUCUUUCCCAUUCACCCUCUGAAUGGCACAUAUACACAAUACAUGUCUCAAGGCUUAAAAAUCCUUCUUUAACGGGUCUCCUCCCCUUCAUCUACACUGAUUGAAGUGGAUUUAACAAGUGACAUCAAUAAGGGAUCAUAGCUUUCACCUGGAUUCAUCUGGUCAGUCUAUGUCAUGGAAAAAGCAGGUGUUCCUAAUGUUUUGAACACUCAGUGUAUAUCCUACUACCAGUCAUGUUGUAUGUAUAAAACCCCUUGAACCACUCCAGUAACCCUGCACAUUAAAUAAGGUACUGGUACUAACCUGUAUGUACGUGUAUUCUCGUGUUUCUUUAACUCUCAUCUUGUGUGUCAUUUUAUUUUUAUUAUCUAUAUUAUUAUUAUUAUCACUGCCUUGUAGGGGAAGAGCUCUCAAGGUAAUAAUUUAUCUGUAUUGUUUUACACCUGUUGUAUCCUGUCCAAGUGGCGAAUAAACUUUGAAACUUGAAACUA